UGGCGGCCUUAGCGCGGUGGUCCCACCUGACCCCAUGCCGAACUCAGAAGUGAAACGCCGUAGCGCCGAUGGUAGUGUGGGGUCUCCCCAUGCGAGAGUAGGGAACUGCCAGGCAU
rnacentral:rRNA from 3 species